GCUAUCCGGAGGCGGCGAGCGGCUAGCGGGAAACCAGGUCGCGAGUGACGUCAUGACCCGAGUGCCGUUCAUUCAACCCCCGGGGAUGAACUGGGUCACAGGGACGAACCGACGAACACCGACGAAACGACCUCUUUGUCCGGGAGAAGCUGUGCCUUACCAGGGAUCGACUUGUCGGUGACGCAAGCGUUAUCAUGCAUAUAUUAAUUACGCCCGGGUUCUAAAGCCGCGAGGCCUUACCCGUGUACGCGCCAAUCUCCACGAGCUAGGAUUAACAACAAGCGAUAAUUAUCGUCGCGGUCCAAUGCUGUAUACAUAUGUGUGUGUGUACAAAUUUCCGCAUGCACGCGAGAACCAUGCAUGCGCGGGUGGAUUUCCUUGAAACCGGCAAGGCGAAUUAGCCGAAGAAAGAAAACAAAAGGUGAUUCUUGCAGUCGUCAUCUUCUUCUUCGGCGUAUAAAACUCUCACAAAUCGGCGAGUAAUUGUUCCGACGAAAGAAAAGGGGGAAUUUUUCACUCCGGGUAAAUAAUUAUAAGGCGUGUACAAAUACUCGGCGAUCUUUGCGUUAGACGCUCGGUACAGACUCGGUGUAUUUUUGGAUACGGAUAACGCGAGGGAAAAA